GGGGGCGUAGCUUAGCUGGAAAAGCGUCUCCCUGUCACGGAGAAGAUCGCGGGUUCAAAUCCCGUCGCUCCCGCCA
rnacentral:tRNA from 1 species